GUGAAAGCCUAGUGGUCAGGGUUUUUGAAUCCCAGCCAAAAGGUUGUGGGUUCAAACCCCAAUGUCCGCA